rnacentral:rRNA from 1 species
GAAACCCAAGCUAAUACCGCAUACGCCCUAAGGGGGAAAGCAGGGGAUCUUCGGACCUUGCGCUAUUGGAUGAGCCUGCGUCGGAUUAGCUAGUUGGUGGGGUAAGAGCUCACCAAGGCGACGAUCCGUAGCUGGUCUGAGAGGACGAUCAGCCACACUGGGACUGAGACACGGCCCAGACUCCUACGGGAGGCAGCAGUGGGGAAUAUUGCGCAAUGGGCGAAAGCCUGACGCAGUCAUGCCGCGUGUGUGAAGAAGGCUCUAGGGUUGUAAAGCACUUUCAAUAGCGAGAAAAAGCUGUCGGUUAAUACCCGGCAGUAUUGAUGUUACCUAUAGAAGAAGGACCGGCUAACUCCGUGCCAGCAGCCGCGGUAAUACGGAGGGUCCGAGCGUUAAUCGGAAUUACUGGGCGUAAAGCGCGCGUAGGCGGUUUGCUCAGUCGGAUGUGAAAGCCCCGGGCUUAACCUGGGAACUGCAUUCGAUACUGGCAGACUUGAAUACGGGAGAGGGAGGUAGAAUUCCAUGUGUAGCGGUGAAAAUGCGUA